GAUGAAGAACGUAGCGAAAUGCGAUAAGUAAUGUGAAUUGCAGAAUUCAGUGAAUCAUCGAAUCUUUGAACGCACAUUGCGCCCGCCAGUAUUCUGACGGGCAUGCCUGUUCGAGCGUCAUUUCAACCAUCAAGCCCUGCUUGCGUUGGGGUCCUGCGGCUGCCCGCAGGCCCUGAAAACCAGUGGCGGGCUCGCUAGUCACACCGAGCGCAGUAAUACAUCUCGCUUUGGGCGUGCGGCGGGUUCUUGCCGUUAAACACCCCCUUUUUACCAAGGUUGACCUCGGAUCAGGUAGGAAUACCCGCUGAACUUAAGCAUAUCAAUAAGCGGAGGA
rnacentral:misc_RNA from 1 species